GACGAACGCUGGCGGCGUGCUUAAUACAUGCCAGUCGAACGGAAAGGCCCUGCUUUUGUGGGGUGCUCGAGUGGCGAACGGGUGAGUAACACGUGAGUAACCUGCCCUUGACUUUGGGAUAACUUCAGGAAACUGGGGCUAAUACCGGAUAGGAGCUCCUGCUGCAUGGUGGGGGUUGGAAAGUUUCGGCGGUUGGGGAUGGACUCGCGGCUUAUCAGCUUGUUGGUGGGGUAGUGGCUUACCAAGGCUUUGACGGGUAGCCGGCCUGAGAGGGUGACCGGCCACAUUGGGACUGCGAUACGGCCCAGACUCCUACGGGAGGCAGCAGUGGGGAAUAUUGCACAAUGGGCGGAAGCCUGAUGCAGCAACGCCGCGUGCGGGAUGACGGCCUUCGGGUUGUAAACCGCUUUCGCCUGUGACGAAGCGUGAGUGACGGUAAUGGGUAAAGAAGCACCGGCUAACUACGUG
rnacentral:rRNA from 1 species